UACGUAGGUGACCAGCGUUGUCCGGAUUUACUGGGCGUAAAGCGCGUGUAGGCGGCUUUGCAAGUCGGGUGUGAAAUCCCUCAGCUCAACUGAGGAAGUGCGCCCGAAACUGCAGAGCUCGAGUGCCGGAGAGGGUGGCGGAAUUCCCCAAGUAGAGGUGAAAUUCGUAGAUAUGGGGAGGAACACCGGUGGCGAAGGCGGCCACCUGGCCGGUAACUGACGCUGAGACGCGAAAGCGUGGGUAGCAAACAGG
rnacentral:rRNA from 1 species